UCCGACUCAGUGAUGAUUUGAUUUGCCUGACCCGCAAGAUAACACGUGGGUAACCUGCCCUAGGACUGGGAUAACUCCGGGAAACCGGGGCUAAUACCGGAUAACAUUUUGAACCGCAUGGUUCGAAAUUGAAAGGCGGCUUCGGCUGUCACUUAUGGAUGGACCCGCGUCGCAGUAGCUAGUUGGUGAGGUAACGGCUCACCAAGGCAACGAUGCGUAGCCGACCUGAGAGGGUGAUCGGCCACACUGGGACUGAGACACGGCCCACACUCCUACGGGAGGCAGCAGUAGGGAAUCUUCCGCAAUGGACGAAAGUCUGACGGACCAACGCCCCGUGAGUGAUGAAGGCUUUCGGGUCGUAAAACUCUGUUGUUAGGGAAAAACAAGUGCUAGUUGAAUAAGCUGGCACCUUGACGGUACCUAACCAGAAAGCCACGGCUAACUACGUGCCAGCAGCCGCGGUAAUACGUAGGUGGCAAGCGUUAUCCGGAAUUAUUGGGCGUAAAGCGCGCGCAGGUGGUUUCUUAAGUCUGAUGUGAAAGCCCACGGCUCAACCGUGGAGGGUCAUUGGAAACUGGGAGACUUGAGUGCAGAAGAGGAAAGUGGAAUUCCAUGUGUAGCGGUGAAAUGCGUAGAGAUAUGGAGGAACACCAGUGGCGAAGGCGACUUUCUGGUCUGUAACUGACACUGAGGCGCGAAAGCGUGGGGAGCAAACAGGAUUAGAUACCCUGGUAGUCCACGCCGUAAAACGAUGAGUGCUAAGUGUUAGAGGGUUUCCGCCCCUUUAGUGCUGAAGUUAACGCAUUAAGCACUCCGCCUGGGGAGUACGGCCGCAAGGCUUCAAACUCAAACGAAUUUGACGGGGGCCCCGCACAAGCGGUGGAGCAUGUGGUUUAAUUUCAAGCACCGCGAAAACCUUACCAGGGCUUGACAUCCUCUGAAAACCCUAGAGAUGGGGCUUCUCUUCGGGAGCAGAUUGACAGGUGGUGCAUGGUUUGUC
rnacentral:rRNA from 1 species